UUUUUGUCAAUGGACAGGGGGACUUGAUGAUUUCAAAAUACUAAAUAGCGCUCGUCUUUGGAGAUCUUUCCCGGUCUUUUGCUUUUACAAAAGCCUGUCAAGACGCGUAUUCAACACCAACCAAGACGGCAAUGCUGUCUUAUUUUUUCCUUUAUAAUGUUAAGCCACGACCCCCUUUCCUUGCCCCUUUCAAAGACACUUCAACACAGAUUGAGGGGGGGGAAAGGAAUAUGUUAAUUCACCCAAGUGCUCCACCUUCCCAAUUGAAUAGAUCCCAUUAAACUGCAGGGAUGACUGAGUAAUCAAUCAGUGUGGAGAGGUCAAAAUCAUUUCCCUUUCACUUUUUCUUCAUCCGCAUUUCAAAUAAACUUGGCAAAAACGCGUGCCUCAAACACAUCACAUGCGCAACUCUAGGCGUACAUGUAUGAGUGUUUGAACGGGGUCAGUGGCGAGACCGGCGUCUGUCUCUUCAGAGGGAUUCGCGUGCAUUCAAGUUGAAAUAACACGUAAUAUCCCCGGUCUCAAUCGAACAGUCCGAGUGGAAAGAAAAAGACACGAUUAUCAAAUGCUACAUGUUUUGGGCAACUCUCGGUCGUUGAAUUGGUUGUUUAUUUAUUUAAUUAUUUAUUUAUUUAAUUAAUUUUUAUUUGGCCUAAUAAAACUUAGUGUUAAUAACCAGGUUCAUUCUGACAGGAGUCGCAGGGGACCUGCUUGCUGUUUUGUUUCUCAGUGCGUAUCUGAACCGGGACGGUGUUUUUAUGUUGUGCAGCGCUGCGUUGAGAACCCUCUAGUGGCUACACGAUGAACUCUCAUUUAAAAAAAAAAAACAACAUUUUAAAUAUGGUAAGGCGAGCUGAAUAUUUGUAUUGUUCUUUCCUUUGUCCACAACGACCUAUUAUCGUGCGCAGCGCUGGCUGUGGAGACUGACAGAAAGCCAAACGCAGGGUGCUGAUGGGGAAAACGAGAAGCAGAGGGAGCCUUGAAAAUGACUGAAUGCACUUCCUACAUUGUCUGCUCCUGUUAUCAGUGUCCUGGUUCUCACAGCUGCAGAGGGACUCCUUGCAAACAUGUGACGUCAAUACUGCUGAAUAUCAAUGGGCACUGGUGCUAAAGGACCAGCGGGAAACCUAUAGGCACAUCAGAAGUUUAAUUCAACGGAGAUGGACAAAGUCAGCCACCUGUAAGUCAAGCAUCUGAUAUAGAUGAAUACUUAACAGAGCUAAGGCAAAAGCUCAGUUAAAGUGGGCAGCAACAACCUCAUACUGAAGCUGCUGAAAAUGAAGCUAUAGUAUGAAAUCAGUAGUGAUGAUCUAGACUUUUUUGUCAUUGUAAGUUAAGCUGAGAUCAGUCUGUGUUGAUUCUGACUCAAUUUAAUCAAGAUUAAAUAAGUUGAGCAGAGCCAGCAUACAUUUCAUAAUCACAUUCUGACUGUAUAAGAAACAAAAACAAAAAUUUCCCAUAGGACAUUAACUUUGCUUGGGUCUCUAAUUACUGCUGUAAUUGAUCUAUGUUUCUAAGCAAUGAAAUCUUUUAAUGAAUCAAAUAAUUUCUCUCAACUUUUGAAUCAAUAUUUCACCACUGAGCAAUUGAGACAAACAUCU
ensembl:lncRNA